UGGGGAAUUUUGGACAAUGGGCGCAAGCCUGAUCCAGCCAUGCCGCGUGCGAGAAGAAGGCCUUCGGGUUGUAAACCGCUUUUGUCAGGGAAGAAAUCCUCUGAGCUAAUACCUCGGGGGGAUGACGGUACCUGGAGAAUAAGCACCGGCUAACUACGUGCCAGCAGCCGCGGUAAUACGUAGGGUGCGAGCGUUAAUCGGAAUUACUGGGCGUAAAGCGUGCGCAGGCGGUUGUGCAAGACAGGUGUGAAAUCCCCGGGCUUAACCUGGGAGCUGCACUUGUGACUGCACGGCUUGAGGACAGGAGAGGAAGGUGGAAUUCCCGGUGUAGCGGUGGAAUGCGUAGAUAUCGGGAGGAACACCAGAGGCGAAGGCGGCUUUCUGGACUGAUCCUGACGCUGAGAUUCGAAAGCUAGGGGAGCAAACAGGAUUAGAUACCCUGGUAGUCCUAGCUGUAAACGAUGGAUACUAGAUUUUGCAUGUAUUUGCUUGGUCGAAGCUAACGCGUUAAGUAUCCCGCCUGGGGAGUACGGUCGCAAGGCUG
rnacentral:rRNA from 1 species